rnacentral:rRNA from 1 species
GAUCAUGGCUCAGGAUGAACGCUGGCGGCGUGCUUAACACAUUCAAGUCGAACGGAGAACGGGGAGCUUGCUCCCCGGGAUCAGUGGCGGACGGGUGAGUAACGCGNGAGCAACCUGCCUGUGUGUGGGGGAUAACACCCGGAAACGGGUGCUAAUACCGCAUAACGCAACGGAGCCGCAUGACUUUGUUGCCAAGGAUAUAUUGCGCACAGAUGGGCUCGCGUCUGAUUAGAUAG